rnacentral:rRNA from 1 species
AAUUCGAUGCAACGCGAAAACCUUACCUGCCCUUGACAUCCUCGGAACUUGUCAGAGAUGACUUGGUGCCCUCGGGAACCGAGAGACAGGUGCUGCAUGGCUGUCGUCAGCUCGUGUCGUGAGAUGUUGGGUUAAGUCCCGCAACGAGCGCAACCCUUACCCUUAGUUGUUUUCCCGAAAGGAUUACCCUCUAAGGGGGACUGCCCCGGACAACGGGAGGAAGUGGGGAUGACGUCAAGUCCGCAUGCUCCUUACGUCUAGGGCUACACACGUCCUACAAUGGGGUCGACAGUGGGAUGCAAAGCCGCGAGGUGGAGCCAAUCCCCAAACGGCCUCUCAGUUCGGAUAGUAGUCUGCAACUCGACUACUUGAAGUCGGAAUCGCUAGUAAUGGCGGAUCAGCAUGCCGCCGUGAAUACGUUCCCGGGUCUU